rnacentral:rRNA from 1 species
UACGUAGGGUGCAAGCGUUGUCCGGAUUUACUGGGUUUAAAGGGUGCGCAGGCGGGCUUCUAAGUCGGUGAUGAAAUGUCAGGGCUUAACCUUGGCGCUGUUACCGAUACUGGAGGUCUUGAGCGCGGUUGAGGCAGCUGGAAUGAGUGGUGUAGCGGUGAAAUGCGUAGAGAUCACUCAGAACACCGAUUGCGAAGGCAAGUUGCUAAGCCGUAGCUGACGCUCAGGCACGAAAGCGUGGGGAUCAAACAGG